GUCAGAAUAAAAAAGGACAUAAUCCUUUGCAGAGGAGAGAGAGGAUGAAAUGGGCCAAAUGGUACUCUGAAAAUGGACAUUUAGUGAGAGGAGCUGUCUGAUGAGGCUGCCUGUUUGAAGAUGACCUUUGCAAACCUUUUGAGAUCUGCAUAAAUGGGGUACAAGCACAGAGGCAACACAAACCCAAAGGAGAGACCCCAAAACCGAGAAAUACCUACCUACUUUAGGUUACCAAAUGCCGACAGAACAACGCCAAGGGGAAAAGCCCGCGUGGUUCAUUAGCCGCGCUUAUAUACAGUUGAAGCUGGUGGGUGAUGUCCGCGACAUAUGCUGGCCAGCUGUGUUAAAAGCUGGCACUAGCAGGAAGAUGGAGAGAGCGGGAGAGGCAGUGGAGGCUGCAGCGGCUCUCCAUGCUGGUGAUGGGCAGUGCCGGCAAGCAAAAGAAAGUCCCGAACAGGGAGAAAUGAUCCAGGCAGCAGCAGCUGUCCACAGCCUGCACGCUGGUUACAGGCAGCACUGGAGUGCGGGAGAAGAUGCCAUCUUGAAACAAGCGGCGAACGCUG